AUUGAACGCUGGCGGAAUGCUUUACACAUGCAAGUCGAGCGGCAGCGCGGGGGCAACCCUGGCGGCGAGCGGCGAACGGGUGAGUAAUGUAUCGGAACGUACCCAGUCGUGGGGGAUAACCAUCCGAAAGGAUGACUAAUACCGCAUACGUCCUGAGGGAGAAAGCGGGGGAUCGCAAGACCUCGCGCGAUUGGAGCGGCCGAUAUCGGAUUAGCUAGUUGGUGAGGUAAAGGCUCACCAAGGCGACGAUCCGUAGCGGGUCUGAGAGGAUGAUCAGCCACACUGGGACUGAGACACGACCCAGACUCCUACGGGAGGCAGCAGUAGGGAAUAUUGGACAAUGGGGGGGAACCCUGAUCCAGCCAUGCCGCGUGAGGGAAGAAGGUCCUCUGGAUUGUAAACCUCUUUUGGCAGGAAACAAACCUGCGCUAUACGCGCAGCUGAGGGUACCUGCAGAAUAAGCACCGGCUAACUCCGUGCCAGCAGCCG
rnacentral:rRNA from 1 species